rnacentral:rRNA from 1 species
AUUGAACGCUGGCGGCAGGCUUAACACAUGCAAGUCGAGCGGGGGAGGUUGCUUCGGUAACUGACCUAGCGGUGGACGGGUGAGUAAUGCUUAGGAAUCUGCCUAUUAGUGGGGGACAACAUCUCGAAAGGGCUGCUAAUACUGCAUACGUCCUCGGGGAGAAAGCAGGGGACGUGCGGGCCUUGCGCUAAUAGAUGAGCGUAAGUCGGAUUAGCUGGUUGGUGGGGUAAAGGCCUACCAAGGCGGCGAUCUGUAGCGGGUCUGAGAGGAUGGUCGGCCACACUGGGACUGAGACACGGCCCAGACUCCUACGGGAGGCAGCAGUGGGGAAUAUUGGACAAUGGGGGGAAACCUGAUCCAGCCAUGCCGCGUGUGUGAAGAAGGCCUUUUGGUUGUAAAGCACUUUAAGCGAGGAGGAGGCUACUGGUAUUAAUACUACCGGAUAGUGGACGUUACUCGCAGAAUAAGCACCGGCUAACUCUGUGCCAGCAGCCGCUGUAACAC